ensembl:lncRNA
GCAAAGAUUGAGCAUUACUAGAAGCUCUGUUGUCUGCCUGGGCUGAUUAGCAUAUUGUGAAGGGAUUAAUACCUUUGAAUAGAUUAUAAUUUUACUAUCUAUGACUCAUCUCCAAUAACACUCAAUUCUUUGCCAUAUCAGCAAAAUGGAAUCAUAUUUGUAGUGAAAAGAUACCCUCUCACAUGGCUUUAAAACAUGGCCAACCGAUUUUCUGAUACUCCUUCAUUAAGAGAGGGGAUCGUUGUCCCCUUUCCUUGAAUCAGGGCUCUGUGACUGCUCGACACGUAUAUACAGUGAAAGUCACCCUGUGCUGAUGCCUGGCCCAGACUUUAAGAAGCUGGCAGCUUCUACUUCCUGUCUCUUGGGAUGCUUGCUCUUGGAAGCCAGCCACCAUGCAGUGAGAGCCUGUGCAGCGAGUGCGGCAGCCCUCGUAGAGCAUCCCGCGCACAGCUCCAGCUGAACUUCCCGACUGUAGCCAGCUCCUGCUUGCAGCCAUGAGUGAGCCGUCCUGAAAGUGGGUCCUCCAGCCCUCAGCUGAGCUGCCCUUCAUGACUCUGUGUGGAGCACAGAUUAGCUAUCUCUCUUGAUCCCUGCCCAAAUUACAUAUUUGUAAACAAAAUAAAUGAUUAUUCUUGUUUUUAAGCCACUAAAAUUUGAGGUGAUGUUUUACACAACAGAUAACUGGAACAUGCGCUAAGGAAAUGGCGAUGUUCCCAGCCUCCUUCUCUUCAGUGCAGCAAAAACCGGCUGCUACUUCAAAUCUCAACCCUUGAUGCUACUGGCUUGCAAAGGAAGAAAGAAUGAAAGCCAGGAUAUAUGUGAUGAGAAAUUUAUUCUAAGAAAAUGCCUGAGGAGACGAACUGUGGCACAAUAUUUUGUAAAAUUCAGUAUCCUUUCAUUGGACAAAUUUUAAGUGAGAAUAUAUUGUUGUCCCUUGAGUGUAUUAGUUAUCUAUGGCUGUGUAACCAAUUAUCCCAAAACUUAGUGUUUAAAACAGCAAAUAUUUAUUAUCUUAGUUUCUAUGGAUCAGAAAUUUAGGAGUAGCUUAGUUGGGUGUUUCUGGCUUGGGUCUCUCAUGAGAUUUUAGACAAGCUGUCAGCCGGGGCUGCAGUCAUCUGACAGCUUGACUGGGGCUGGUGGAUUUGCUUCCACUGCUUCACUCAGGUGCUGGCACGUUGGUGCCGGUUAUUAUUGGGCAACAUCAGCUCCUUGCUGUGCAGAUCUCUCCAGAGGGCUACUUUAAUGUUCUUAAACAGGGCAUUUGACUCUCUCCAAGAGACAGCAAAGAGGAAGCCAUAAUGUCUUUUAUGACCUUGCGUUGUAAGUCAAACUCUGCUACUUCUGCAAUAUCUUAUUAGUCACACAGUCCUAUGUAGUUUGGGAAGAGAUCAUCCAGGGGCAGGAUAACUCGAAAGUGAGAAUCAUCAUGGACCAUCUUGGAUGAUGGUUACCUGUCAAGGUUUUGGCUUAGGCUUCUUGCUCUUAUCACUCUGCAUAUUCUCCGUGGACAAAGCCAUCCAUAUCCACAGCUUUACAUACCACUGUUAAGCCCAUUACUCCCAAAUAUAUAAAUAAGUCAGAUUUCUCUUCUGUUCUUCAGACUUCAAUGCAUCAAACGUACUGGACUUUCAUUUUAUCCAACUGGUAUUUACUGAGUAGCUACUAGGAACCAGGCCUUAAACUAGUCUGGAUAAACAAGACAGGCCUCCUGCUCUUGUGGAGAUUAAGUUUAGUGAAGCAGGAGGAAAAUAAACAAGUAAGUUAAGAAAAUGUUUACAGUUUGUGGUAAGUAUAAUCAAACAAAUAUGCUGCUGUGAAAUAACGGGGGUGUGUGAUAGGAGAGGAGAGGCAUGGGUUAGCUACUUUAGAUGAACUGGACAAAGAACUCUUUGACGAAGUGUCAUUUAAGCUGAGACUGGAGGGGUGAGAUAUGAAAAAUGGAGGAAGAAACUGUUCCAGGCACUGAGAACAGCAAGUACAAAGGCUCUGAGACAAGGAAGAGCAUAGUGUGAUCUAGAAGAUGUCAACCAUUGUGGCUGGAGCACUAUGAGUGAGAGACAGAAUGGCAAGAGCUAAAGCUGGUAGGGUAGGCAGGGGCUAGAUCACUUAGGUUUGUCAUCGAGGGCCUUAUAACAUAUGUGAUGGGGUUUGAGUACAAUGGGAAGAGAUGGGUUUUAAGCAGGGUCUAGUCAUUUGGUGUAUAUAAUGUAACAAGUCCAUACAUAAAAUCGUUAUUCUCAUCUCCCACUCCAAACUGCUGGUUCUGCAAUGGUUCCUGCAUCACUGAAGAGCAGCACCAUCCAGUAGUUGUUAAGAGUGCAGCCUUUGCAGUUAGUCAGGCCUGUUUCAAUUUUAGCUCUAUAGCUCACUAGCAAAGCCAUCUUAGAAGCAUUAUCUACUUUGUCUGAUCUCCAAUGUCCUCACCUUUAAAGUGGGAACUGGGGGGAGGAUUAAAUUAUCUGGCACCUAGUUGUAGUUGAAACACGGUAGCUAUGAUGAGUAUUUUCUUUAAACAGUGACACUGGGCCCUCUGACAUAUUCCUAACUAUGUUCCUUAUCUUACUUCUAAAGACACUAUCCAAAUUUUAUUUUUUUGGCCAGCAAUUUAGAAUAUAGAAUCUGGUGCAGGGUAGGGCUCUCACUACAGGGCAAAAUAACUUACAGGCUGAGUCACACACUAAAACAGGGCUUAGAAUGUGACACAAGUUUUUGAGAUUAGUCUUACUCUCCUCUCUCCCCAAAUUGGCUAACAACUCUUGUUUCUAGUCUUUGAGUUAGCUAGGUUCAUUAGGACUAGGUUCUGAGUACAAGCCCUUGUUUUAAGUCUAAACUUUUACUAACUACCAGAUACCAUGUCCAGACAUCACAGUCCAGUAUUUCUUUAUCAUUGUGUAUUCUUCAGAAUACUAGCUCCCAAAGAUUUCUGUACAAAAAUUGAUUUAAUAGGGACAUUGCUUAUUGUCCCCCUCUCUCG